AUUGAACGCUGGCGGCAGGCCUAACACAUGCAAGUCGAACGAGUGGCGGACGGGUGAGUAAUGUCUGGGAAACUGCCCGAUGGAGGGGGAUAACUACUGGAAACGGUAGCUAAUACCGCAUACCAUCGGAUGUGCCCAGAUGGGAUUAGCUAGUAGGUGGGGUAACGGCUCACCUAGGCGACGAUCCCUAGCUGGUCUGAGAGGAUGACCGGCCAACCUGGAACUGAGACACGGUCCAUACUCCUACGUGAGGCAGCAGUGGGGAAUAGUGCACAAUGGGCGCAAGCCUGAUGCAGCCAUGCCGCGGGUAUGAAGAAGGCCUUCGGGUUGUAAAGUACUUUCAGCGGGGAGGCGUUACCCGCAGAGGAAGCACCGGCUAACUCCGUGCCAGCAGCCGCGGUAAUUC
rnacentral:rRNA from 1 species